CUGGGCUCGAACGUAAGAUGACUGUAGGUGAAAGCUUACAUCCCUUCGGGGCAUUUUACGAGGUGCUGCAUGGUUGUCGUCAGCUCGUGCCGUGAGGUGUCGGGUUAAGUCCCAUAACGAGCGCAACCCCUAUCUUUAGUUGCCAACAGGUAAUGCUGGGGACUCUAAAGAAACUGCCUACGCAAGUAGUGAGGAAGGCGGGGAUGACGUCAAAUCAGCACGGCCCUUACGUCCAGGGCUACACACGUGCUACAAUGGCCGAUACAGAGGGCAGCUACCUGGUGACAGGAUGCAAAUCUCGAAAGUCGGUCUCAGUUCGGAUCGGAGUCUGCAACCCGACUCCGUGAAGUUGGAUUCGCUAGUAAUCGCAUAUCAGCCAUGAUGCGGUGAAUACGUUCCCGGGCCUUGUACACACCGCCCGU
rnacentral:rRNA from 1 species